GAUGAACGCUGGCGGCGUGCCUAAUACAUGCAAGUCGAGCGAACAGACGAGGAGCUUGCUCCUCUGACGUUAGCGGCGGACGGGUGAGUAGCACGUGGAUAACCUACCUAUAAGACUGGGAUAACUUCGGGAAACCGGAGCUAAUACCGGAUAAUAUAUUGAACCGCAUGGUUCAAUAGUGAAAGACGGUUUUGCUGUCACUUAUAGAUGGAUCCGCGCCGCAUUAGCUAGUUGGUAAGGUAACGGCUUACCAAGGCGACGAUGCGUAGCCGACCUGAGAGGGUGAUCGGCCACACUGGAACUGAGACACGGUCCAGACUCCUACGGGAGGCAGCAGUAGGGAAUCUUCCGCAAAGGGCGAAAGCCUGACGGAGCAACGCCGCGUGAGUGAUGAAGGUCUUCGGAUCGUAAAACUCUGUUAUUAGGGAAGAACAAAUGUGUAAGUAACUAUGCACGUCUUGACGGUACCUAAUCAGAAAGCCACGGCUAACUACGUG
rnacentral:rRNA from 1 species